rnacentral:rRNA from 1 species
GACGAACGCUGGCGGCGUGCCUAACACAUGCAAGUCGAGCGGAGAUGAUGUGAGGAAGUUUUCGGAUGGAAUCACAUUAUUUUAGCGGCGGACGGGUGAGUAACGCGUGAGCGACCAACCUUGCACAGGGGGAUAACGGACCGAAAGGUUCACUAAUACCGCAUGAGACCACGGUGUUGCAUGACACAGGGGUCAAAGGAGGAAUCCGGUGCAAGACGGGCUCGCGUCCGAUUAGGUAGUUGGAGGGGUAACGGCCCACCAAGCCUACGAUCGGGAGCCGACCUGAGAGGGUGAUCGGCCACAUUGGAACUGAGAUACGGUCCAAACUCCGACGGGAGGCAGCAGUGGGGAAUAUUGGGCAAUGGGGGAAACCCUGACCCAGCAACGCCGCGUGAAGGAAGAAGGUUUUCGGAUUGUAAACUUCUGUCCUUGGUGAAGAGAAGAAGACGGUAGCCAAGGAGGAAGCCCCGGCUAACUACGUGCCAGCAGCCGCGGUAAGAC